rnacentral:misc_RNA from 1 species
AAAGUCGUAACAAGGUUUCCGUAGGUGAACCUGCGGAAGGAUCAUUAAAAAUAUAGCAAACCGAGCGUUAGCGAGGUUUUGCGAUCAAAAUUGUAUUUAAAACCCAACUCUUUGAAUCAAAUAUAUUAGUGUAUCAUAAAUAAAUAAAAGAUCACUUUCAACAACGGAUCUCUUGGCUCUC